rnacentral:rRNA from 1 species
CCAGCAGCCGCGGUAAUUCCAGCUCCAAUAGCGUAUAUUAAAGUUGUUGCAGUUAAAAAGCUCGUAGUUGGAUUUCUGGUGGGAGCGAUCGGUCCGACACUUUGUGUGGGUACUCGUAUUGUCUCCGGCCAUCCUUGGGCGGAGCUUGUCUGGCAUUAAGUUGUCGGGCAGGGGAUGCCCAUCGUUUACUGUGAAAAAAUUAGAGUGUUCAAAGCAGGCUUAUGCCGUUGAAUAUAUUAGCAUGGAAUAAUAAGAUAGGACCUCGGUACUCU